rnacentral:misc_RNA from 1 species
AUUCAGGUACAUUUGAUAUUCACCGUGUAGAUUCGAAUCACUAGGGCGGGAAAUUGAAUUGAAUUGUAAGAUUUGAAUGGAGAGUCAUAGGAUUCUAACAACAGUGAGUGGCAUUGAAAUUGGUUGUUAUCUUAAUGUUUUUUCUGGCAUAUGAGGUCUAGUUUACACGACAGGAGAGUGAUGUAUUUUAAUUCUGCCAUAAGAUUGAUGAUAUUAAAAUUUCCAUCUCCAUGUCCUCA